GAAUCUUAAACGAUGGUUUAGUGUGGCUGAAACUGGGCUUAGGCUAAAUAGUUAUUUGAUUAAGGGGUUAUCCGGCUUAGUGUAGACAGGGACUGAGUUACGAGCCCAGUCACGGAACAAACUCCGCUCAUAAACUGAGUGUGUGCAGGAGCCAAAGUACGGCCCCAGCCAUCCAGAGAGCCCAACCCAAAAAAGCAGUUGUGGUGCCCAGGGAAGAAGGGACCACAGGCCCCAGCUGUCAGGCCAGCUAGCGGCAAGAACCCCAGAGAAGCAGGUGACAGCCAACCCCUAAGCCAGCGAGAGACCACACCCCACGCGUGCACUAAGACGGGACACAUGUGAAGUGAAAACCAUUCCAGGUCUGGCCGCAAGCCCGCACCCAGACGACGGCACACCACUUGGCGUGAAGGAUGGUGCAGCAGAGGGUGAGGGCAGGCCCGGGUCGACACCCGACAAGCCAACCAACACGAC